UACGGAGGGGACUAGCGUUGUUCGGAAUUACUGGGCGUAAAGCGCGCGUAGGCGGUUUUGUAAGUCAGGGGUGAAAUCCCGGGGCUCAACCUCGGAACUGCCUUUGAUACUGCAAAUCUUGAGUCCGGAAGAGGUGAGUGGAAUUCCUAGUGUAGAGGUGAAAUUCGUAGAUAUUAGGAAGAACACCAGUGGCGAAGGCGGCUCACUGGUCCGGUACUGACGCUGAGGUGCGAAAGCGUGGGGAGCAAACAGG
rnacentral:rRNA from 1 species